GGCUCUUUGGGAAUGGAGAUAAAGAGUCGGACCUGCCCAGUGAAAAUUUUUAACGGCCGCGGUACUCUGACCGUGCAAAGGUAGCAUAAUCAUUUGCCUUAUAAUUGAAGGCUCGUAUGAAUGGUUUGACAAGAAUAUAGCUGUCUCUAUACGAUUUUGUAGAAUUUUAUUUUGAAGUGAAGAAGCUUGAAUAAAAUUGAUAGACAAGAAGACCCUAUCGAGCUUGAAAAAAGAUUACAGAUGCUUUAAAAUAUGUCUAAAAAAUUAUCUGUGGUAAAUUUUGGUUGGGGCGACUUAGGAACAAAUUGAGCUUCCUAAAUUCAUUUAAUACAGACAAGAUGAUCCAAAAAAUUUUGAUUAAUGAAAUUAGUUACCGUAGGGAUAACAGCAUUAUCUUCUUUAAGAGUUCUUAUCGAAAAGAGGGUUUGUGACCUCGAUGUUGGACCAGAAUGUCCUAAAGAUGCAGCAGUCUUUAAGGGUUGGUCUGUUCGACCAUUAAAAUUCUACGUGAUCUGAGUUCAGACCGGCGUGAGCCAGGUCAGUUUCUAUCUUUAAUUUAAACUAUAAAUUUAGUACGAAAGGACCAAUUUAUUAUAACUUGUUGUGUCGAAAGAUGUAAUUUAAUGAAGGUUAUUAUCAAAUUAGCAAAAUAAAUGCAAUUGACUUAGGAUCAAUAGAUAUAGGUGAAAUUCCUUUAUUUGAUAAUAAAGAUGGCAGAUGAA
rnacentral:rRNA from 1 species